UACAGAGGUCUCAAGCGUUGUUCGGAUUCAUUGGGCGUAAAGGGUGCGUAGGUGGCGCUGUAAGUCGGGUGUGAAAUUUCGGAGCUUAACUCCGAAACUGCAUUCGAUACUGCGGUGCUUGAGGACUGGAGAGGAGACUGGAAUUCAUGGUGUAGCAGUGAAAUGCGUAGAUAUCAAGUGGAACACCAGUGGCGAAGGCGAAUCCCUGGAAAAUACCUGACACUGAGGCACGAAAGCUAGGGGAGCAAACAGG
rnacentral:rRNA from 1 species